GUCGCGAAAGCGCCGUAGGCAGGAGCGGGGGAACCAAGGUAGGCCGCCGGAACGGCCCGUCGACAUCGACGGACCGGAACGGCUAGGGGUGAAGCCCCGUGUGCUCCGGCACACGAGGCCGGGCAGCUCACAGCCCGAACCCGACAGCUCACCUCGUAGGCGUCGGUGAGGAAACCA
rnacentral:sRNA from 1 species